rnacentral:rRNA from 1 species
GUAGGGAAUCUUCCACAAUGGACGAAAGUCUGAUGGAGCAACGCCGCGUGAGUGAAGAAGGUCUUCGGAUCGUAAAACUCUGUUGUUAGAGAAGAACGUGCAUGAUAGUAACUGAUCAUGUAAUGACGGUAUCUAACCAGAAAGCCACGGCUAACUACGUGCCAGCAGCCGCGGUAAUACGUAGGUGGCAAGCGUUGUCCGGAUUUAUUGGGCGUAAAGGGAACGCAGGCGGUUUUUUAAGUCUGAUGUGAAAGCCUUCGGCUUAACCGAAGAAUAGCAUUGGAAACUGGAAGACUGGAGUGCAGAAGAGGAGAGUGGAAUUCCAUGUGUAGCGGUGAAAUGCGUAGAGAUUUGGAAGAACACCAGUGGCGAAGGCGACUUUCUGGACGAUGUCUGACGCUGAGGCGCGAAAGCUAGGGGAGCGAACGGGAUUAGAUACCCGUGUAGUCC